ACGGGAGGCAGCAGUGAGGAAUAUUGGUCAAUGGACGGAAGUCUGAACCAGCCAAGUCGCGUGCGGGAGGAAGGCCCUACGGGUCGUAAACCGCUUUUGUACGGGGAUAAAGUCACCCACGUGUGGGUGUUUGUAGGUACCGUAAGAAUAAGGAUCGGCUAACUCCGUGCCAGCAGCCGCGGUAAUACGGAAGGUCCGGGCGUUAUCCGGAUUUAUUGGGUUUAAAGGGAGCGUAGGCGGCCUUUUAAGCGUGCUGUGAAAUGUCCCGGCUCAACCGUGGCACUGCAGCGCGAACUGGAGGGCUUGAGUGCGCAGGAAGUUGGCGGAAUUCGUCGUGUAGCGGUGAAAUGCUUAGAUAUGACGAAGAACUCCGAUUGCGAAGGCAGCUGACUGUAGCGUUACUGACGCUGAUGCUCGAAAGUGCGGGUAUCGAACAGGAUUAGAUACCCUGGUA
rnacentral:rRNA from 1 species